rnacentral:misc_RNA from 1 species
AGUUACGCGUGCCAUCACCGUCUGUUUUCUCGCCAACACACUGAGCUUCACUAUCAGAAAUCACAAAUGUGAUCGCUCAGUUGAGCUUCACGGCCCAUCUCUAUGGCUGCCGCCGGCGGAUCCUCCAAAUCUACUGCCCAGAAAGCUCCUAUAAGCCCCAAAUCCGCCCCAAAAUGCAAACCCGGAAGACCAAGAAAUCAAAACAAGCACUUGACCAAACAACUCAUUUCUCUGCUCUCCUCAGCUACCUCCGCCGCCCACUCUUUCCUCACCCAAAAUGACCUCCUCCUACUUCCCUCCCAAUCUCUCUCCCUCGAAUACUUCCUCUCUUCUAUCCCUUUUUCUCCCUCUCCUUCCCUUUCUCCUCCUUCUCAGUCCUUCUUCUAUCGCCUCCUUUCCUCCGCGUCGGACUUCGACCCUCGCUGGUGUCAAAUUUUUCGCAUGUCCAAGCAAACCUUUACAAGUCUUCUUUCUCUUCUCUCACCUUCCCUUCUCUCUUUCCUUCCCUCCUCCAUUCCUCCCGAUUCUGCCAUUGCAGCCACCCUCUUCCGCCUCGCCCACGGCGCGUCUUACGAAUCAGUAGCGCCUAGAUUUGGACUUGAUUCACCUGCCGCCGCGUGCCUAGCGUUUUACUCUGUUUGUAAAACAGUGAACGAGAAAUUGGGGGACUUGGUGGACUUUGGGAGGGAUUUGGAGCGCAUAGUGAUGGGAUUUGAAUGGAUUUCUCUCCCUAAUUGUUGUGGGGUUUUGGGGUUUGGGAAAUUUGGGGUUGAUAGUGAGCUGCUGGGGAAAAAUGGGUCCUUGUUAGUUCAGGCGUUGGUGGAUUCUGAGGGCAGGUUCUUGGACAUCUCUGCUGGGUGGCCUUGCACAAUGAAGCCGGAAUCCAUCUUCACCCAAACAAAGCUCUAUUCUCGUGUGGAAGGAUCAAGGGAGUUACUAAACGGGGCUUGUUAUCAGCUUAGUGAAAGCAAUUCAAUUCCCCAAUACAUAUUGGGGGAUUCAUGUUUCCCAUUGUUGCCGUGGCUAUUAACUCCUUUUAUUAGGCCCAAUGAGGAAGAUAGUUUCGGUUCAGCAGAAAGGGAGUUCAAUGCUGCACAUAGCAGAGCAAUGGGGUUGGUUGGCAAUGCGUUUGGGAGAGUUAAAGCUCGGUGGCAGCUGUUGGCGAGGAGGUGGAAAGAGGAUUGCGUUGAAAUUUUCCCAUUCGUGAUUGUGAUGGGUUGUUUGCUGCAUAAUUUUCUAAUAAAGUAUAGUGAGCCAUUGCCAGAGGAGAGCGUAGGACGCAUUCUACGGGAGGAGGAACUGCCAGUUUUCGAAGGAGAGGCAGAUGAGAGAGGGGAGAGGACCAGGUAUGCGCUUGCUAAGCACUUGAGUUGGGUAAGCAUGAGACGGUAAAUAAUGCUAGUAACUACGCUGGUCUUAGCGGUAGUAGUAUAGGUAGUUUGCUUUGCUUUCUUUUCUGUAAAUAAAAGGCAGCUGUUGGCUUCUUGCUGGAAUUAGAAAUUUGAUGUUGUAGGAACAAUUAUCUGUGAUUCUGGAUUGUGCCUUGUUUACAUUUUCACUUAGGAAAGUUACCCAACUACGGGUGGUGGUAAAAAUGUCAGGGAGUUUUACCAGUGGAUUUCUCAGAUUAAAUUCAUUUCCUAUCAAUCACUUGCCUGACAUGGCAGGAUAGGAAGUUUGAGAACCCUGAAUUUAACAAAUGGAAAAAGUUAAACCAGGGUUCAUUAUUCAGGAGCAACAAAUUGUUCUGUUUUCAUAAGCCAUAGAUGGAAACAAACUGAUGGAUAAGCGUAAAAGUUUAGGCCCUCAAGAAUAUAGCAGCCCAUCUCGGGCUUGAACCAACGGUUUUGAGUCGAGAAAGAGGAUGAAUCGAAGCUGCAUUGGUUUCAAGUAGUUUUAGUUGGUCUCGAUUCAAGAUGAUUUAAAGCAGAUAUCAAUUGGGUUCAAUCAUGGUUCUGGUUUUUGAGAGUUUUAGUCUAGUUUAGUUCACCUGAACUGCCAGUUUUUAUUUGAUAAUUAUUUUAGUUUGGGUAGGAAGGAGGGGAUUGCAAUCAGGACCUAUACAAGGUUCAUGAUCGGUUUGUAUCCUUAA